rnacentral:rRNA from 1 species
GAUGAGCGCUGGCGGCGUGCUUAACACAUGCAAGUCGAACGGUGAGGCGCCUUCCUUUCUGGUGGGCGUGGAUGAGUGGGGAACGGGUGCGUAACACGCGAGUAAGCUGCCCCCUUUUUCUGGAUAACCGGAUGAAAGUGUGGCUAUUACGGGAUAUUCUGGGUCUGUCGCAUGUUGGGUCUGGGCACGAUCUUGUUUCGGUGGGGGUUGGGCUCGCGGCCUAUCAGUUUGUUGGUGGGGUGAUGGCCUACCAAGGCGGUGACGGGUAGCUGGCCUGGGAGGGUGCGCCGUCACAGAGGGACUGAGACACCGCCCAGACUCCUACAGGAGGCAGCGGGGAGGAAUAGAGCACAGUGGACACAAGGCUGAUGCAGCGACGCCGCGUGGGAGAAGGUGGCCGGCUGGUUGUGAACCUCUUGCGCCGGGGAAGGAUACCAGCCUCAUUUGUGGCUGGGUUGACGGUACCUGGAUAAGAAGCGCCGGCUAACUACGUG